GACGAACGCUGGCGGCGUGCUUAACACAUGCAAGUGGAGCGACGAACCAGGGCUUGCCCUGGGGCAGAGCCGCGAACGGGUGAGUAACACGUGGGUAACCUACCCCAAUGACCGGGACAACCCGAGGAAACUCGGGCUAAUACCGGAUGUUCUGCACUCUCGUAAGGGAGUUCAGCAAAGAUAGCCUCGGCUUUCGCAUUGGGACGGGCCCGCGGCCCAUUAGCUUGUUGGUGAGGUAACGGCUCACCAAGGCUUCGAUGGGUAGCUGGUCUGAGAGGACGAUCAGCCACACUGGGACUGAGACACGGCCCAGACUCCUACGGGAGGCAGCAGUGGGGAAUCUUGCGCAAUGGGCGAAAGCCUGACGCAGCAACGCCGCGUGGGGGAAGAAGGCCUUCGGGUUGUAAACCCCUUUCAGUUGGGACGAAGCUUCCAGGGUUAAUAGCUCUGUGGAGUGACGGUACCUUCAGAAGAAGCCCCGGCUAACUACGUGCCAGCCGCCGCCGUAACAC
rnacentral:rRNA from 1 species